rnacentral:rRNA from 1 species
UACGGGAGGCAGCAGUAGGGAGUUUUCGGCAAUGGGCGAAAGCCUGACCGAGCAACGCCGCGUGAGUGAUGAAGGUCUUCGGAUUGUAAAGCUCUGUUACGAGGGAAGAAGGUCCGCUUCAGGAAAUGGGAGCGGGAUUGACGGUACCUCGCCAGAAAGGGACGGCUAA